UACGUAGGGUGCGAGCGUUUAAUCGGAAUUACUGGGCGUAAAGCGUGCGCAGGCGGUUGGUUAAGUCUGAUGUGAAAGCCCCGGGCUCAACUUGGGAAUGGCAUUGGAAACUGGCUGGCUAGAGUGUGGCAGAGGGGGGUGGAAUUCCGCGUGUAGCAGUGAAAUGCGUAGAGAUGCGGAGGAACACCGAUGGCGAAGGCAGCCCCCUGGGCUAGCACUGACGCUCAGGCACGAAAGCGUGGGGAGCAAACAGG
rnacentral:rRNA from 1 species